rnacentral:rRNA from 1 species
CCUACGGGAGGCAGCAGUGGGGAAUAUUGGUCAAUGGGCGCAAGCCUGACCCAGCAACGCCGCGUGAAGGAAGAAGGCUUUCGGGUUGUAAACUUCUUUUCUCAGGGACGAAGAAAGUGACGGUACCUGAGGAAUAAGCCACGGCUAACUACGUGCCAGCAGCCGCGGUAAUACGUAGGUGGCAAGCGUUAUCCGGAUUUAUUGGUUGUACAGGGGGUUUAGGCGGGAGCGCAAGUCAGAUGGGAAAACUCAGGGCUCAACCCUGAGCCUGCAUUUGAAACUGUGUUUCUUGAGUGCGGGAGAGGCAAGCGGAAUUCCGGGUGUAGCGGUGAAAUGCGUAGAUAUACGGAGGAACACCAGUGGCGAAGGCGGAUUGCUGGACAGUAACUGACGCUGAGGCGCGAAAGCGUGGGGAGCAAACAGGAUUAGAUACCCGUGUAGUC